UACGGAGGGUGCAAGCGUUGUCCGGAAUUAUUGGGCGUAAAGAGCUCGUAGGCGGUCUGUCGCGUCUGCUGUGAAAACUCAGGGCUUAACCCUGAGCUUGCAGUGGGUACGGGCAGACUAGAGUGCGGUAGGGGAGACUGGAAUUCCUGGUGUAGCGGUGAAAUGCGCAGAUAUCAGGAGGAACACCGGUGGCGAAGGCGGGUCUCUGGGCCGUAACUGACGCUGAGGAGCGAAAGCGUGGGGAGCGAUCCGG
rnacentral:rRNA from 1 species